rnacentral:rRNA from 1 species
GACGAACGCUGGCGGCGUGCUUAACACAUGCAAGUCGAACGCUGAAGACCUGGCUUUUGUUGGGUUGGAUGAGUGGCGAACGGGUGAGUAACACGUGAGUAACCUGCCCUCUUCUUUGGGAUAACGCCCGGAAACGGGUGCUAAUACUGGAUAUUCACUGAUCUUCGCAUGGGGGUUGGUGGAAAGGUUUGUUCUGGUGGGGGAUGGGCUCGCGGCCUAUCAGCUUGUUGGUGGGGUGAUGGCCUACCAAGGCUUUGACGGGUAGCCGGCCUGAGAGGGUGACCGGGCACAUUGGGACUGAGAUACGGCCCAGACUCCUACGGGAGGCAGCAGUGGGGAAUAUUGCACAAUGGGCGAAAGCCUGAUGCAGCGACGCCGCGUGAGGGAUGGAGGCCUUCGGGUUGUAAACCUCUUUCGCUCAUGGUCAAGCCGCAACUGUGGGUUGUGGUGAGGGUAGUGGGUAAAGAAGCGCCGGCUAACUACGUG